rnacentral:rRNA from 1 species
AGAACGAACGCUGGCGGCAGGCCUAACACAUGCAAGUCGAACGCCCCGCAAGGGGAGUGGCAGACGGGUGAGUAACACGUGGGAACAUACCCUUCGGUUCGGAAUAACUCAGGGAAACUUGAGCUAAUACCGGAUACGUCCUGGCGGAGAAAGAUUUAUCGCCGAAGGAUUGGCCCGCGUCCGAUUAGCUAGUUGGUGAGGUAAUGGCUCACCAAGGCGACGAUCGGUAGCUGGUCUGAGAGGAUGAUCAGCCACAUUGGGACUGAGACACGGCCCAAACUCCUACGGGAGGCAGCAGUGGGGAAUAUUGGACAAUGGGCGCAAGCCUGAUCCAGCCAUGCCGCGUGAGUGAUGACGGCCUUAGGGUUGUAAAGCUCUUUCGUCAGGGACGAUAAUGACGGUACCUGAAGAAGAAGCCCGGCUAACUUCGUGCCAGCAGCCGC